GCGCCAGUAGCUCAGUGGAUAGAGUGCUUCACUCCGAAUGAAGAAGCCGCGAGUUCAAUUCUCGCCUGGCGCACCA
rnacentral:tRNA from 1 species